UAUAAUGCAGUCGAGCGACAGAUAAGGAGCUUGCUCCUUUGACGUUAGCGGCGGACGGGUGAGUAACACGUGGGUAACCUACCUAUAAGACUGGGAUAACUUCGGGAAACCGAAGCUAAUACCGGAUAACAUUUGGAACCGCAUGGUUCUAAAGUGAAAGAUGGUUUUGCUAUCACUUAUAGAUGGACCCGCGCCGUAUUAGCUAGUUGGUAAGGUAACGGCUUACCAAGGCGACGAUACGUAGCCGACCUGAGAGGGUGAUCGGCCACACUGGAACUGAGACACGGUCCAGACUCCUACGGGAGGCAGCAGUAGGGAAUCUUCCGCAAUGGGCGAAAGCCUGACGGAGCAACGCCGCGUGAGUGAUGAAGGGUUUCGGCUCGUAAAACUCUGUUAUUAGGGAAGAACAAACGUGUAAGUAACUGUGCACGUCUUGACGGUACCUAAUCAGAAAGCCACGGCUAACUACGUGCCAGCAGCCGCGGUAAUACGUAGGUGGCAAGCGUUAUCCGGAAUUAUUGGGCGUAAAGCGCGCGUAGGCGGUUUCUUAAGUCUGAUGUGAAAGCCCACGGCUCAACCGUGGAGGGUCAUUGGAAACUGGGAAACUUGAGUGCAGAAGAGGAAAGUGGAAUUCCAUGUGUAGCGGUGAAAUGCGCAGAGAUAUGGAGGAACACCAGUGGCGAAGGCGACUUUCUGGUCUGUAACUGACGCUGAUGUGCGAAAGCGUG
rnacentral:rRNA from 1 species